GACGAACGCUGGCGGCGUGCUUAACACAUGCAAGUCGAACGGAACCUUCCUGUUUAUGUGGGGAGCUCGCGUGGCCAACGGGUGAGUCACCCGUGAGUACCCUGCCACUGCCUUUGGGAUAACUUCAGGAAACUGGAGCUCAUCCGGGAUAGGAGCUUCUGCUGCUUGGUGGGGUUUGGAAAGUUUCGGCGGUUGGGGAUGGACUCGCGGCUUAUCAGCAUGUUGCUGGGGUAGUGGCAUACCAAGGCUUUGACGGGUAGCCGGCCUGCGAGGGUGACCGGCCACAAUGGGACUGAGAUGCGGCCCAGACUACUACGGGAGGGGACAGUGGGGUAGGUUGCACAAUAGGCGGAAGGCAGAUGCAGCAACGCAGCGUGCGGGAUGACAGCCUUCGGGUUGUGAACCGCUUUCGCCUUUGACGGAGCGAGAGUGACGGUAAUGGGUAAAGAAGCACCGGCUAACUACGUG
rnacentral:rRNA from 1 species